GAGUUUGAUCGUGGCUCAGAACGAACGCUGGCGGCAGGCCUAAUACAUGCAAGUCGAACGGCUCUUCGGAGCAGUGGCGGACGGGUGAGUAACGCGUGGGAACGUGCCCUUUGGUUCGGAACAACACAGGGAAACUUGUGCGUAAUACCGGAUGUGCCCUUCGGGGAAAGAUUUAUCGCCAUUGGAGCGGCCCGCGUUGGAUUAGCUAGUUGGUGGGGUAAAAGCCCACCAAGGCGACGAUCCAUAGCUGGUCUGAGAGGAUGAUCAGCCACACUGGGACUGAGACACGGCCCAGACUCCUACGGGAGGCAGCAGUAGGGAAUCUUGCGCAAUGGGCGAAAGCCUGACGCAGCCAUGCCGCGUGAAUGAUGAAGGUCUUAGGAUUGUAAAAUUCUUUCACCGGGAAGAUAAUGACGGUACCCGGAGAAGAAGCCCCGGC
rnacentral:rRNA from 1 species